rnacentral:lncRNA from 1 species
GUUCGUUGAAAUCAUAUUCCCAUCAGGUGCCAGGCACUGGCUAGUCUGGCUUUGAGGAUUCAGCAGUAUUUCAGCACCUGCUAUCUCAGAACCAAGUGCAUUGAAAGGGGAGCCUCGUUUGUUAAGUAGAUGAUGAUCAAUGCCACAUCUGAUGCCCGAUUGGAAUGGGACAGGCCUGGAAAGGGCCUGAUUGGGAUGAGCAGUGUCUAGGGUUCCGUCUCCACCUGCACCUGCAAUGGGGUAGGGAUGGAAAGGGGUGGGCACACUCUAGGCAUGUUUGGCUCUAUCUGUAGUGGGUGACCCAGCCUU